GAUCAUUAAUAAAAGUACUGCGGCCUCCGGGCUGCGGAACUCCAACCCUUUGUUUACUAUACCUCGUUGCUUCGGCAGGCCGGGCCUUAUGGUCCGCCGGCUCCCUGAGCUGGCGAGCGCCUGUCAGAGGACCUACAAAAUCUGUGUUAGUGUUGUCUGAGUAUCAUUUAAUAAUUAAAACUUUCAACAACGGAUCUCUUGGUUCUGGCAUCGAUGAAGAACGCAGCGAAAUGCGAUAAGUAAUGUGAAUUGCAGAAUUCAGUGAAUCAUCGAAUCUUUGAACGCACAUUGCGCCCUCUGGUAUUCCGGAGGGCAUGCCUGUUCGAGCGUCAUAAGACCACUCAAGCCCAGCUUGGUGUUGGGACGCGCCCCGGCGCUCCUCAAAAUCAGUGGCGGCUCAGCUCAGCUUCAUGCGUAGUAAAAUGUCUCGCUAUGGACGCUGGGCUGGCGCCUGCCAGAAGCCUAAUUUUUACAGGUUGACCUCGGAUCAGGUAGG
rnacentral:rRNA from 1 species